rnacentral:rRNA from 1 species
UACGAGGGGGGCAAGCGUUGUUCGGAAUUAUUGGGCGUAAAGGGCGCGUAAGCGGUGCGGUAAGUCACCUGUGAAAACUCUGGGCUCAACUCAGAGCCUGCAGGCGAAACUGCCGUGCUUGAGUGUGGGAGAGGUGCGUGGAAUUCCCGGUGUAGCGGUGAAAUGCGUAGAUAUCUGGAGGAACACCGGUGGCGAAGGCGGCAUCCUGGACCGGUAUUGACACUGAGGCGCGAAAGCCAGGGGAGCAAACGGG